GUCAGAAGGUUAAUACCAUGACUCUGCUCCCUGCUCUCCUCUGAGUCUCAGUCACUCCCUACCAGCCAGCUGUGCUUCCUGCGGCAUCAAGACUUUUGGUUAGCACCCCAGCCUCUCACAGACCUGUAAGCACAAAGCCCUUCGGUUUGGUGCAUUCUGGCUCCAUAUCUUUAUUGAGUCUUGUUUGACUCGGACGGAAGCCUCACUUUCCAGCACCAGGGUUCUCCUUUCAAGAGAGAAGUCUCAAAGUCAACUUGGAAGAAACUAACAUUUAACGUUCUGAGCUUUUCAGAUAUCUUUGGAUGACACCAGAUCAGCUUACCCUUCUGAGCUGCUGGAGACUGAUGGCCAACUGUGACUAUGUACCUGAGCCCCACUGCAAAUCUUGGACACCAGGCUUAGUGGUGUCUUCAGGCAGCUGCACUCCCCUGGCGUUCAGAUGUGAUGGCCCAGUAGAUGGGGUUGGAAGAGAUGGCCCAGUGGUCAAGAGCUACUUUUGAGCAGGAUCUGUGUUUGGUUCCUAGCACCCACAUGACAGCUCACAACUGUAUAACUCCAGUUCCAGGUGGUCCAACACCCCCUUCUGGCUGUCAAAGGCACAUGGCACACGUUGUGCAAAAUGCAUGUACCUGCAGUCAAAACCCUGAACACUGAGACACAGAAAAUAAAAAUAAAUAAAUCUUAAGAAGAA